CCUUCGAUAGCUCAGUUGGUAGAGCGGGGGACUGUAGAUCCCUAGGUCGCUGGUUCGAAUCCGGCUCGAAGGA